rnacentral:rRNA from 1 species
GACGGACGAACCUCUGGUGUGCCAGUUGUCCUGCCAAGGGCAUGGCUGGUUGGCUACGUUCGGAAAGGAUAACCGCUGAAAGCAUCUAAGCGGGAAGCCUGCUUCGAGAUGAGGACUCCCACCCCCUUUGAGGGGUUAAGGCUCCCAGUAGACGACUGGGUUGAUAGGCCAGAUCUGGAAGCCCGGUAACGGGUGGAGGUGACUGGUACUAAUAGGCCGAGGGCUUGUCCUCAGUUG